UGCUCCUGGCAAUGGGCAAGGAGACAUCUCAUUUGUGGUGCUGCUCUUAGAUCAGGCAGGGCAGAUGCAGUCCUUUGUUCAUCCUAACUUGAUGCCUGUGUAGGUGGCCAGAGCCACUUCAUGCCUAGGAUCCAAAA